rnacentral:lncRNA from 1 species
GUGCUUCCUGGGAGAGAUAACAAAGAGAAGAACCUAUAAAAGUGAGAUUGGCUACAACGACUAUGAAAUAUUGUAUCUGGACACACAAUCUAUAUGAUGGGUCCUUCUUGUCUGGAAUAAACAAACACAACAGCAAGCUCCACAGCAAAUAGGAAACCCAGAGCAAAGAACGAGACCACACAUAAAAUAAACUCUGACACCAGAAUUUACACAGAGACAACCUAAGUGAAAUAACAUCAGACAAAGAAGAGUUGAAUGGAAGGGUCACAAAAACACAGAGCUGCUCUAAGAGAAAUGCUGGCGGACAUUUACUACUGCUCCCUUGGAGGCAGGAUCUGCUGUGGGACAUGCAGACCAGGGGACAUGGUGACAAGGAGCUGCUGGAGGAGGUACGGGCACAGCUGCCACGUGGUGCCCUCCGCACAGGCAGGGACAGCUCAGCCUGGUCAGAAGCCUGUAGCCAUCAAGAGACUGAGAAACUACUGUGCAGUUACAGGAGGCUGCUGUGGACAGAAGAAAGCCAGUGAAAGUUGGGGGAUGAAAUAUAAGACUGAUUUAUUUAUUUAUUUAUUUAUUUAUUGCCUUUGUUUAUCCAAUGCUAUUAAAAUAAAUUGGCAGGUUAACUCGUUCUUUCAAAGACACUUUUGA